rnacentral:rRNA from 1 species
ACUGGCUCAGGAUGAACGCUGGCGGCGUGCUUAACACAUGCAAGUCGAACGAAGCCAAAAGGAAGCUUGCUUCUUGAAGCUUAGUGGCGGACGGGUGAGUAACGCGUGAGUAACCUGCCCUUCAGUGGGGAAUAACACAGAGAAAUCUGUGCUAAUACCGCAUAACGUCUUCUUGCCGCAUGACAGGAAGACCAAAGGAUUUAUUCGCUGAAGGAUGGACUCGCGUCCGAUUAGCUAGUUGGUGAGGUAACGGCCCACCAAGGCGACGAUCGGUAGCCGAACUGAGAGGUUGAUCGGCCACAUUGGGACUGAGACACGGCCCAGACUCCUACGGGAGGCAGCAGUGGGGAAUAUUGGGCAAUGGGCCGAAAGCCUGACCCAGCAACGCCGCGUGAAGGAAGACGGUCUUCGGAUUGUAAACUUCUUUGAUUGGGGAAGAAACAAAUGACCUACCCAAAGAACAAGUCACGGCUAACUACGUGCCAGCCGCCGC